rnacentral:rRNA from 1 species
AUGGUAGUCAAUUCUUGGUCCUUAUCUCGUAGGCCAGAUCAGGUUAUUUGGACUAUGGAAAAGAAAAACUACUUCUCGACCAAAUUUGUCUAUGCUUAUCUGGAUAGACACCUAGCAGGGUGUGACUAUAGAUGGAUCUGGAAAGCCAGGCUUCUUCUCAAAAUACAAAUUUUCUUAUGGCAGCUAUUCCAAGAUGCCAUUCUGACUAGAGAGGUCAUGAAGAAACGAAAUAUGGCUGGUAACCCCAGAUGUUCUUUUUGUAGAGAGAAAGAAACUUCUCAACAUCUAUUUUUUACUUGCCCAGUUGCCCGGGUAAUUUGA